AAAAAAAAGUUAAGACGGCGGCCAAAGUCCUUUGUCCUUUUUAAUAUCCAUUUUUUGUGCGCAAGUUUGUAACUGCAUUGUAGUAAAUGUUACCAAUUGCCACUAAAUUGGCCAGAUUGAGUAUUGGCUUUAAACUUUUUGCCAGAAAGUAACUUCCAGCCGGCGACCAAGAAGUCUUUAGAGCAAUUUUAAUGAGGUCCUCCUUGGGCACAACACAGUCAGCGACUUUUUACACAUCGAUUAUUGAUCCGUGCCAGUUUGGCGCGCAGUCCUUUUGCAACUUCUUACGUCAUUUGGGAAAUACUCGGCAACUGGUUCGCACUGGUUGGCUGGGGGCCACGUUUUCCCCAUAUACCCCCACGCCCCCAUUAUUGCCCCCACCAUCGCCAGGAUGUGUCAUCAUUAGGGCUCGUCGUCGUGCAUUCCCCUCAUUUGCCCAUUUACCCAUUUUCCCGCCAAACGGCCAUUCCCACUCCCUGCGCGCUUUUGGCCAGGCCAAUACACAAAUCGAUCGCUGUGGUUUCUUUCAUUAAGUAUAUUUCGCGCGUUGCCUCUCGCCCGGCGUUAUUAUUGUAAUAAAAAUUUACGUAAAUCGUGCCUCGAACAUUGCCCCAAAGCCCCCAGCCAUUCUCACUCGACACAUUUGCUCACGCACUGUCGUGUGCGGCUCGUCCUUCGGCAAAAAGUUUCCUUUGUUUGCCAAUUUUUAUGAGCAGGCCACGCUUCCGCCAAAUGCCCACCGACCCAACGACCCACCGUCCCACCAACCUACUCUAACCACCCAUCCAGGUGGUGCGGUCAAGUUCGUAGCUAAACUUAGCCACCUCGUUCUUCUUCGUUCGGUUCUUCGUUCUUCUGGCCAACGACACCUGCAGACUAAUUAAUGGCAAAUUCCAGGCACCUCACUUCGAUGUUCAUAUAUGACUGGCGCACACCUUAUUCAGCGUAUGCGUGUACACUGCGAGAAAAUCAUGGCUAUCCAGAAGCUAUCUGGCUUAUAAAGAUCUUUAACUAAAUAAAAGAAGUUGUAGUUCUUGAAGACUUAAAUGACUAUGCAUAAGAUAUAUCCUGUUUAGCUACCACAUGCGUUAUAAUUCUCAAGUGCUAAUUUGGCAAGCUGUGUAUAAAGCACAAUCCUUUAAUGUUAAAAGUAAUUUGAAAUGUUUUUAAACAUAAUUACCCGCUUAAGUAGACCAUUUUUUUGUUUUAACAAUAUAAUUUCGGUGAAAUGCCUUCGAAAGGCACUCAAUUUUCUGCGGGUGCACGCAUGGAUGCCUAUGGUUGCCUAUUUGAGCCGAUUAUGAGCCUGUAUGAAGAGAUGUUGGCAACGAUUGUGUCCCGCUAAUGGCACAAAGCAUAACCCAUUGCCGCAACGACAGGCCGUAAGUAGGGCAUCCAAAGUGAUUCGAUUAGGCGCAGCUAUCAAUUGAAUGUCUCCGGCAAUUUGCAUCCGAUGGGGCGUGGUAAAAACGUUAUCGAAUUAUCGAGUCGAUAGUUGUGUUCGAAUGGAGAGUCAAAGUGAUGAAAACUGGAGUGACACUUCACGUUACGUUAAGCACUUACAAUUAUGGCAAAUGCUUAUGAGCCAGGGGGGCGGGGUGAAUUUUCGUGUCCUUUGUAAAAGGAGUGAGUGUGUUUGAGUGUGUGUGUGCCAUGCACACACAAACACACAUCCUUGUAUUUGAGUUUCGUCUUUUGGGUGUACUCGAAAGCAUUUGGAAACUUUUAAUGACAUUCUCGCUUAUUAUUAUUUACUAGGGCUUCGCAGCCAAGUGCUUGGCUGUCUUAAUCAAUGGCAGACAAUUGUACUCGCAGUGGCUGUAAUUAACAGAUGACAAAGGAAGCUCGGCCCCAGCUGGAUUAUCCUUGAAACUACCACACCCCUGGCAAUGCGCAAAUUGCUGCUUACGAGCGUUUCAUUCGCCAGCAUUUUACAUUCGAUUUCCAUUAUGCCAUUUGUUGCUCGAAAGGCUUUGUCAGCCUGAUUUGGUUUCCGAUUUCCGGUCGGGAACGAGGACCCAAAACUGUUAAUACACACACACACACACACACUCAUAACAAUGCCUCUUUUGUUGGCCAUUUUGGGCCUACAAGGGCAAGGACGUCCCCUCAAGUGCCGGCAAUUAUUUACAACAAUCCGAGAAUGGCUCUUCGAAAGGAUCAAAGGAGGAGGCGACGCCCCGUACGCCCAGGACACUGAAGAUAUGCCAUCGAUAUACACUCGGAAGAAAAUUAGUUAGCAAAACCCAUUUCUCUCAGUGGUUAAUAAAAUAUUGGAAAUCUGGUUCCCUCUUACAUCAUGCAUUUAAAAAAUCUCAAAGAAAAACAUUACAUUAUGUAUGAGGCAUAUAUCUUCAAAUGUUUGGCUAAUUUGAGAAAUCGACCAAGGCAUGAAACUCCUUGGUAUAUUUGAGUGCCAUUUUUUUUGAACAGUGUAUUGUGCGUGUCUGCCUUGGCAGCUGGGAAAUAGUUUAACAUUCUGUGGAUUUUCUCCGUAUUUUCAGAAUCGUUUGGCCAGCAUCUCAGCCGUAUACGGCUUGUUGGCGACGUUUCAUUAAGCGAGCGGAAAAUGACGCAUGCUCCGGCUCAUUCGGGCACGCUCCGCUUCACAGGACAUUCGUGGUUAUCCUUUAUUGUCUGAGUGGCAGCGUGGCAAUCUGGCGAUACGAUGGCAAUGUGGCAAUGGGCAAUGGGUCCUCGGAGAUGCGCCACUCAAGCCCAGUUUCCGUUUCAAGGCAAACAUUCUCACCCCAACCAGGCAGAACAAAGCGACGGAAAAGCGCUUGAAGUCCAUUUGCUAAAUAAAUUUGAUAAACAAGGAGCGCCCGCGGCACAAACAGAACUACACUGGGAUGAAAGGGAGCCAUAUUCAAUUCGAAAAUUCUUUAAAAAAUACUAGGUCACACGAACCAGAUCUUUCAUCCAUAAUUUUACAAUUUGAAGCAUUAUCGAUAGUUGUCAAUUGCCCAAACAGGCCACGUUUUUUGUGAUUCCAAAUAAUGACACAUUUUCUCCGAGCAACCUGAAAAGCGAAAAGUGGCUGCCUUGUAUCUCCACUGACCCCAAUUGGGUACAAAGUGGGUGUCGCAGCUCCUGGGGCGAUGGAACGCGGAGCUUUAACAUUCAAUCUGCUGAAAACACGAGACCAGCAAAAAAAGAAAAUAAAAAACAGGAACACGCUCGGUGAGCAGGCACUUCAGACUUUGCAUCCGCUUCUGCACUCGGGCGGGAAUAUUAAAUUCUUGAUGCUAUUACUGGCUUGUUGAUCCACAUCAUGCUAAUUAGCCUUAACUUCUGAUGUCGCAGUUGGCGGGGUUAAAGAUAAUGCCAGCUCCAAACCCCUCGGACAUUAUCGGGUUUCUGGUUUUUGAGAACGCUAAUUGAGGGGUGAACGUAAUUAAUACUCGUACGCCAUUUCGCCAUUUCGAAAAUGAAAUAUCGAACGACGUCAUCGCGGAUUUGAAAACGGACGGACCAAGGAGGGUGCUCCAUGUGUCUGCCAUGACAGCCCUAAUUCCCUCCUUAACUUUCGCUUUUUAAGUUGCCAAGUUGUUCGAGAAACUUUCUUCGAAAGCACGUAUUUUACUUUUAAGCUCUCAAAAUUUGCUUGUUUGUCAUGGACAGACCAGCCGGUUCUUGUGAAAAUCCACAAUUCGACGCCAGAUAUGCAGCUCCGGCAGACGACACCGCACAAUCAGUGACCAUUGUCCGGCAUUCGACUGGCCGCACCCCUCUCACCUGGCGGCCGGCGAGUCCUCGGAAGGACGAGUGUGCGAGCCUGCAUCGCCAGCCGCCGCGCCCAGGACACAAAUCAAAUUAAGGACGGACAUAGCGGACCGCACCAAAAAAAAAAAAAAACAGCGCAUACUGCGAGAAAUUAGGAUCACUGGUCAUUUCAAUUUAUUACUAAUAAAAUAA
rnacentral:sRNA from 13 species